AAGGGAGACCUAAUUCGGGUAGAAGACGAAAAAAUAGUAGUCGAAACCAAGAAUCAAUCCCAAAAGGUCGGAACGAGGUAUGUGGCUUUCAAACUAGGUUCUGGGUUCACAAAAGACCUGAAUCAGGAACAAGGGCUAUUAGCUCAGGUGGUUAGAGCGCACCCCUGAUAAGGGUGAGGUCCCUGGUUCGAGUCCAGGAUGGCCCACCUGCACAGGUGGCAAAAACAAGAGAAACGAGGAAUCAGCACCUUAUCUUACUUACAUAGUAAGAGAGAAUGCUGGCUCUGAGUAAAGAGUCCAGGGGAACCUUGAAAACUGCAUAGAGCUAGGUGAAAAAGCCAAAAAAGAAGACCGCAA
rnacentral:tRNA from 1 species